rnacentral:rRNA from 1 species
UGGGGAAUAUUGCGCAAUGGGCGAAAGCCUGACGCAGCAACGCCGCGUGAGGGAUGAAGGCCUUCGGGUUGUAAACCUCUUUCAGCAGGGAAGAAGCGAAAGUGACGGUACCUGCAGAAGAAGCACCGGCUAACUACGUGCCAGCAGCCGCGGGAAUACGUAGGGUGCAAGCGUUGUCCGGAUUUAUUGGGCGUAAAGAGCUCGUAGGCGGUUAGUCACGUCGGAUGUGAAAAUCCAAGGCUUAACCUU